GUCGCGUCCAUAAUCAUGUGACGUCCAAUGAUGCACACCCCGUCGAGAUAAUUCCAGAUGAAUGCCUCAUGAAUACCUUUGAAUAUUGAGGAAAAUGAUUUUUAAAUUCCAUUUAUGUUGACGAUGUAUCUCUAUUUCCGUGGUCUUUCAUUUUUUUCCUGAGCAAUAUAUGAAGAGGUACGGCCGCAGUCUUGAAAACCGAAGGAGUGAUCUUUCUGCUAUUCGUUCUGAAAAAUCUGCCGUUAAAAGGGGAAGGAGAUAAAAAAGGCUUCCGCAAGGAAACUGUUCGACAAGAUCUAGCCAACAGUGCAAACGAUUUGAAAAGUUUCCUGAAAGAUGACGAGAACUGUUCGAAAUAUAUCGAUUGUUAGAAAUUAUCGUCUGUUUUAAUUUAUAUUUUAACUCUUUCCAGAUUUUGUACACGUAUGUUCCAAUAAUAAAGUCUUCGAUGUGCUGUUUUUGACAGUUG
rnacentral:misc_RNA from 1 species